UACGUAGGGGGCAAGCGUUGUCCGGAUUUAUUGGGCGUAAAGAGCGUGUAGGCGGCCAGAAAGGUCAGCUGUGAAAACUCGAGGCUCAACCUCGAGACAUCGGUUGAAACCAUCUGGCUAGAGUCCGGAAGAGGAGUGUGGAAUUCCCGGUGUAGCGGUGAAAUGCGCAGAUAUCGGGAAGAACACCCGUGGCGAAGGCGGCACUCUGGGACGGUACUGACGCUGAGACGCGAAAGCGUGGGGAGCGAACAGG
rnacentral:rRNA from 1 species